rnacentral:rRNA from 1 species
CCCUUAGAUGUUCUGGGCGGCCCGCGCACUACACUGGCACUCUCAAUCAGAGCCUAAAUCUAAAACUUUGUGGUAUUCUAUGAAGAGGUGUCGUGACUGGGAUUAACCCUUGCAAUUAUCGGUUACGAACGAGGAAUUCCUUGUAAUCGCGGUUUAUCAGCCCGCGUUGAAUGCGUCCCUGCCCUUUGUACACACCGCCCAUCGCUCCUACCGAUGGAUCGUCCGGUGAAGUUCAUGGAGGGGCGGUUGUUUCAACUGCCGUCGAAGUGAAAUGGACCUCACGAUUUAGAGGAAGGAGAANUCGUAACA